rnacentral:rRNA from 1 species
AGGAUUAACGCUGGCGGCGUGCCUAACACAUGCAAGUCGAACGAGGUAGCAAUACCUAGUGGCAGACGGGUGAGUAACGCGUGGUCAACCUACCGUUGAGUGGGGGAUAACUAGCCGAAAGGUUAGCUAAUACCGCAUACGUCUCCGAGGGGGCAUCCCUUGGCGAUAAAAGGAGCAAUCCGCUCGAUGACGGGACCGCGUCCCAUUAGCUAGAUGGUGGGGUAACGGCCUACCAUGGCACCGAUGGGUAGCUGGUUUGAGAGAGCGACCAGCCACACUGGGACUGAGAAACGGCCCAGACUCCUACGGGAGGCAGCAGUGAGGAAUUUUCCGCAAUGGGCGCAAGCCUGACGGAGCGACGCCGCGUGUGGGAAGAAGGCCUUCGGGUCGUAAACCACUGUCGAAGGGGACGAUAAUGACGGUACCUUGGAGGAAGCCCCGGCUACUACGUGCCAGCAGCCGC